rnacentral:rRNA from 1 species
GAUGAACGCUGGCGGCGUGCCUAAUACAUGCAAGUCGAGCGAACAGACGAGGAGCUUGCUCCUUUGACGUUAGCGGCGGACGGGUGAGUAACACGUAGGUAACCUACCUAUAAGACUGGGAUAACUUCGGGAAACCGGAGCUAAUACCGGAUAAUAUUUCGAACCGCAUGGUUCGAUAGUGAAAGAUGGCUUUGCUAUCACUUAUAGAUGGACCUGCGCCGUAUUAGCUAGUUGGUAAGGUAACGGCUUACCAAGGCAACGAUACGUAGCCGACCUGAGAGGGUGAUCAGCCACACUGGAACUGAGACACGGUCCAGACUCCUACGGGAGGCAGCAGUAGGGAAUCUUCCACAAUGGGCGAAAGCCUGACGGAGCAACGCCGCGUGAGUGAUGAAGGUCUUCGGAUCGUAAAACUCUGUUAUUAGGGAAGAACAAACGUGUAAGUAACUGUGCACGUCUUGACGGUACCUAAUCAGAAAGCCACGGCUAACUACGUG